UACGUAGGGUGCAAGCGUUGUCCGGAAUUAUUGGGCGUAAAGAGCGUGUAGGCGGCCUGACAGGUCUGCUGUGAAAACUCGAGGCUCAACCUCGAGAUGUCGGCGGAAACCGUCUGGCUAGAGUCCGGAAGAGGAGAGUGGAAUUCCUGGUGUAGCGGUGAAAUGCGCAGAUAUCGGGAAGAACACCCGUGGCGAAGGCGGCACUCUGGGACGGUACUGACGCUGAGACGCGAAAGCGUGGGGAGCGAACAGG
rnacentral:rRNA from 1 species